UACGUAGGGUGCAAGCGUUUAAUCGGAAUUACUGGGCGUAAAGCGUGCGCAGGCGGUUUUGUAAGUCUGUCGUGAAAUCCCCGGGCUCAACCUGGGAAUUGCGAUGGAGACUGCAAGGCUAGAAUCUGGCAGAGGGGGGGUAGAAUUCCACGUGUAGCAGUGAAAUGCGUAGAUAUCGGGAGGAACACCGGUGGCGAAGGCGGCGACCUGGGUUGACAUUGACGCUGAGGCGCGAAAGCGUGGGGAGCAAACAGG
rnacentral:rRNA from 1 species